GGAAAAGCUUUUCAGCCUUUUCCAGUGUUUGUUUGGCUGAAAAUGUUUUCCUCAGGUAAAAUCAAUUACAAAACACGGGAAAAGAAGCCCUUAAUUUUGGAAAAUGUCUUACGGAUUUCAUUUCUGUAAGACAUUUUCCGGUUCCUCCUUCAUCCAGAUAUUCUGUAUGAUAACUGGUCCCCAGCCAUGACUGUAAGUUCUAUCUGCAUCAGCAUUCUCUCCAUGUUAUCAAGCUCAACUGCCAAGCAAAGGCCGGCUGAUAACGAUCGAUAUGUUAAGAACUGUCGCAAUGGCAGGUCUCCCAAGGAGACGAGAUGAUUGUUCCAUGACGAUAAAGUAUAAUAAUAUGAACCUAUCAUCUAUAAUCUGUGUAUAAAAACUGAGGUUACAGGGAUAGGUAAUCGUUUACAUUUGUCACGUUGUGUAUGAAAUUAUGACUUAAAUGUAGAUUUAUUUUGAAUAUUUUUACCUAAUGCAAGAAGCAGACUGAACAAUAUAAACCUUUCUUUUCUUCUA